GACGAACGCUGGCGGCGUGCUUAACACAUGCAAGUCGAACGGAAAGACGCGGAGUUUGCGGGGCGCUCGAGAGGCGAAGAGGGGAGUAACACGCGAGUAACCCGCACCUGACUUUGGGAGAACUUUAGGGAACAGGGGCGAAUACAGGAUAGGAGCUCCUGCAGCACGGGGGGGGUUGGAAAGAGACGGCGGUGGGGGCUGGACUCGCAGCUUAUCAGCUUGUUGGGGGAGUAGUGGCUGACCAAGUGUAUGACGGGUAGGCGGCCUGAGAGGUUGACCGGCCACCUUGGGCCUGAGGUACGGCCCAGACUCCUACGGUACGCAGCAGUGGGGAAUCUUGCGGAAUGGGCGGACGCCUGUUGCGGCAGUGCCGCGUGCGGGAUGCCCGCCUUCGAGUUGUAAACCACUUUCGACUGUGCCGUAGCCUGCGUGACGGUAAUGGGUCAGGAAGCCCCGGCUAACUACGUG
rnacentral:rRNA from 1 species